UUGGAUUAGAUACCCUGGUAGUCCACGCCGUAAACGAUGGGUACUAGGUGUAGGGGGUAUCGACUCCCCCUGUGCCGCCGUUAACACAAUAAGUACCCCGCCUGGGGAGUACGGUCGCAAGAUUAAAACUCAAAGGAAUUGACGGGGGCCCGCACAAGCAGCGGAGCAUGUGGUUUAAUUCGAAGCAACGCGAAGAACCUUACCUAGACUUGACAUCUCCUGAAUUACCCUUAAUCGGGGAUGCCCUUCGGGGCAGGAAGACAGGUGGUGCACGGUCGUCGACAACU
rnacentral:rRNA from 1 species